UACGUAGGGUGCAAGCGUUUGUCCGGAAUUAUUGGGCGUAAAGAGCUCGUAGGCGGUCUGUCGCGUCUGCUGUGAAAACCUGGGGCUUAACCCCGGGCCUGCAGUGGGUACGGGCAGACUAGAGUGUGGUAGGGGAGACUGGAAUUCCUGGUGUAGCGGUGAAAUGCGCAGAUAUCAGGAGGAACACCGGUGGCGAAGGCGGGUCUCUGGGCCGUAACUGACGCUGAGGAGCGAAAGCAUGGGGAGCGAACAGG
rnacentral:rRNA from 1 species